rnacentral:tRNA from 1 species
GGAAGGGCCAUGGCUCAGUGGUAGAGCAUCCAUUUGGCAUACAGAAAGUUCCAGGUUCAGUUCCUGGUGUUUCCA